GUCCUGUAAUAUUAUGUUGUCAUUUCAAUGUUAUAUUUAACUUUGCCAUUAAAGUGCGAGGUUUGGCAUGCCAUAAAACCAGGUUCAACCCACCACUUUUAUUCCCCUUUAAAAGUGUCCUGUACCAAGUCAGGAAGAUGGUCAUUGUUAUAUUAUUGUUCGUUUCUCUGUGUGUUGCAUUUUAACGUUGAGAAAUUUGUGUUUUCUCUUAUUUUUGAGAUA
rnacentral:lncRNA from 1 species